GCGUCCCGUCGGGUCCCAUCCCAUCCCCACCGCAUCCCUUCAUCCCCCUCCGCACACCGGGACCAGGACCGAGGGGUCGUAGCACAGGCGUGUCCCGGACCUGCGGCAGCAUCACCGAGGGGCAGCGCGGCUGUCACCGUCACCCCUGGCUUCCAGGACCGGAUCCAGGGGGGUGACCCCAUCACAUUCCAUCCCAUCUCCCCUCCGCCUUGUGCCGCUGUUUCAGGAUCCCCCACCCGUCCCUGCUGCUGGGGACCACUCGGUUUUCGCCUGGCGCAAGAUCUCCCCCCUGGAUAACCCCGCUUCCAGCCUCCCCGGCGGCGGCAGCAGCGAGCCUCGGCCAUGCGCGGUCCUCGCAUUCCAAACGUCCCCGCUGUCCCCGCUGCACACACCGUGCGGCAGGAGGGGGAGCUCUCACCGCACCGGAUCGACAGAACGGGAAGCUGUGCGGGACAGGGGUCCCCUGGAGCCUCCUCUGCCCUAGGCAGGGGAACCCCCUUCUCUGAACCCCUCUUUCCCCAGCCCUCGCCGCAGCUCCGGCAAUGGAUUUCCUCCGAGCCCUCCUGCCCAUAUUGUGCUAUUGAUCGCUGAGCUGAACUUCCUCCUGAAAUCAUUAAAGCUUAAAAAAUUGAUGGCACAAUAGAGCCCUUUAUUAGCCACAUAACUUUUCCGUCUUCUUUUCCCUCUUCUUAAAUUAUAAUUUUAUUUAUUUCUUUCUUUAUAAAAUCAACACAAACGGGCAGAGCCAGCGCUCAGAUGUGUGUGCUGUGUCCUCGGGCAGCAUGCCCUCCUCCACCCCAGCUGCCCAUCAGCACAGACAUGCUGGGCUAUUUAUUAGGAAAAAUGGCAAAGAAGCAAAUCAAUGUGUGUGCAGUGUUUCUCUGUUCUUUUCAUCCAGCCUCCCCUCUUUGCAGGCUGCAGAUAGGUCUAUUUAUUUCCGCUCUUACAAAUAAAAACGUUUGAAUGGGG
rnacentral:lncRNA from 14 species